AGCCUCGUAGUGUAGCGGUAACACACCGCGUUUAAUUUGCCAGCAAUCCUUUAGGUAAACAUUUCACGUGGAGACCUACGUUCAAUUCGUAGCGAGGCUC